ensembl:lncRNA
GAGGGACCGUGGGGACUGUGGGCCCAGGGGUCCAUAGAUGACAUGCCAUUCGAUAGAUAUUUAUUCUGGUGUUCCAGGAAAACAAAUAACGGUACAGCUUAAGCGAAAAGAAAAACAUCUUACUGUCAGUGUCUAAGCUCCUUUAACAACGGAAUGUGUCUGAGACCUUGUGUACGGAUACACGUGUACUUAAAACAGCCCCGCCAGUGUGCAGAGCUGUUAAGUCGACGACGGUUUGUGGGAGCUACCGCAGUUAAGCCUCAGAACAACUUUAUGAGAUGAUUUCUCAGAAGUAGGAAUACUAGUUCCCAAAAAGAAUCAGGAGGUUCGACAGUGUUGAAGGUACUGAUGGAUACAGGCACACUGACAGCCAUGAAAGUGAGAACUGAGUGUUACAGAAACUCUGAAAAUACACAGAGUGAAAAUUCAGUAUUAUUGCCAAGACUGCACAACAAGAAAUCAUAAAGAAGUCCUUAAGACAGAAGGGAAAUGACACCAGAUGGAAAUACAGAUUUACACAAAGGAAGGAUGAGCACUGGAAAAGAAUGUAUUUUCCAGGAGAGAUGGCCUAUAUCUUUUUGUUAACUCCAGCUCCUGCCAAGUGUUUGACACAUAAAAGAUGUUCAGUGAAUGUUGGAUUGGUUCCUGGAAGUGGAACUACUGUAUCAAAGAUACGUUUGGAAGACUCCAGAAAGGUAGGUAAUACAGUAAUAGAUGAGUUUGCAAAUUUCAUUGCAUUCUUAGCAACACUAGCUAUUAGCAUUUAUUUUCAGUAUCUGUCAGUCUUUGGGGAGACUUUCUAUAAUUUAGUGCGACAAACUUGCAGUUUUGCUCAUACACUCAUAUUAAUAACUUUACUAUUUCAAGGACUUAAAGUUCUUUGUCUUCUCCAUGAUGCUUAACAGAGCCUUGCCCAGACAUUGAAGAAAUGCAUAUUUUAAUUGGCUUUGGCAACAUUUCUUUUAAAAUAAAUUAUAUUUUGAACACAUGGAAAGGUGAAGAAAAGUAACAUUAAAAAAGAUCCAAAUUAUUUUACUUAAUAAAAUAGAAGAUUGUACUCAAUUCUUAAUGUAGUAGUAGAGCAUUAUGGCUAUCAGCCAGCAAUGUUAUAUUUAUUGAAUUUAUUUACUGAAAUCAUACUGAUUUUAUUGAUUAUUGUGUCAUUAUCACUAUAGCACUUUCCAAAAUGUUUCAAAAUGCUUGGUUUAUAAGGUUAAGAAAAACGUUCACUAGAUAACUACUUUGAAAUAAUUUCUUCAGCGCUGCCUUCAUUCAAGAGGACUAGAAGCAUACUGGCCUGUUUCCAACUUUCUUUCAUGUUAUCUUUGCUAUGAAGUCAUUCUAUAGAUAGGGUAAUAAGCAUUUUGGCAUACAGAAAAAUAGCAUCUGUAAAACUAUAUGGCACAGUUUGGCUGGAGUUGUUCCUCCUUGAGAACUGCAUUACGUAAUUUAAAAGUGUUUUCUUAAGCUCCUUUGGGCUGCCUCCAUGGUAGCUAUGAAGUCACUGAGAACUAGGAACAGUUUGGGGCUUGAUAACAAAGUCUAUUAGUUUAAAGUGAACACUGUCAGUAUUUUAAAAAAUCAUUGCUUGAUAAGAAAUUUUAAAAACAAAGAUAUACUUAAUUCAUUUUAUUUUUUAAGGAAGCUUGCUACCUCAAAAAAUCAUCGAGAAAUACACACACAAAAAGGGUUCAUAAAUGUACAUUUGUUCAUUACUUAGAUGCUCUUAUUUUAAAACCUGUACUCUAUAGCAUGAAUUCACAGUGUGAUUUCAACUCAAUGUAACUAUAAAUAAUUAUGCAAAAUUACCAACAUGUAUAAAGCACAGCCUUUAGGAGAGUAUGAAUUAUUAAAAUGACUUCAGCACUAUUUCUGUCUCUAAAUCAUAAAGGAAGUUUUCUAAGGGAACAUCAAAGAUGUAUAAAUUAUAAUAAUAUCAGCUCUGGGAGAAUUUUAAAAGAUACUGGGUUAAAAGAAAAGAUUAAUCUCGACUACACAAAAAAAGGUAGUAUUUUCACUUCCCUAGAGAGAGAACUCUUGAGCCCCUUUACCAACCAAAUAACAAUGUGUACUAGUUUUAAAGAAAAAUAAUGCAUUGUGCAUUGUAAAAGUGGGAGAAGAGUCAUUCAGAAUUUGUAUGGUAAUCAAGUGUUAUAUCACCUCAAAGAAACAUGCAAAUUCUUAUAAAUUACCUAAAGUCUCAGCCGUCACUUUAGAAUUACUGAGUUUUAUGAAUAAACAAGCCCAAGUAAAGUCGAGACAAGAUCCUGACAUCUGAAAAGAUAUAGACCUUUUUUAGAAAUACCAUUUUAAUUAUGUAACAUGGAUUUAUUAUGAAAUUACUUAUUGGAACAAUAAUCUCCUUAGCAUUUUGCUUUUUAACUUUGAGAAGUCAUUUUGUGGCAUUGCCAAUGAUCUAGUGAGGUCCAAAAUCAGUGACAAUUCAAGGAGGGAAUGAAAAAAACUUUUAGGACCUGAUCAUCUGCUUGAAGGUACAGCCACUGUAGGUUUCCCAUCUAGCUUGGGAGAGAGAGGUGUCUGUGUAUGAGUGGCCUGACCUGGAGGGGAGGGAAUGGUCCUGAGGGAGAAGAAGGGAAGAUUAUGAGACCGCCCACCUAGACUGGCUCAUGAUUAGCUUUGCUGGAACAGUAAAAUGUGUGGGGUUUUAUAUUCCAUUCUAAUAUCAAAAAGAAGAUUUUUUUAGGUUUAAGCAUUUUUUCAUGUACAACAUACUGUUUAUAAUCUAUUUAUCUUAAGUUAACAUGUGUGGUGAUUUUAAACACAUUGCAAAUUCUGUGACACUCUUUCCAUUAAAAGACAGAAUCUAACUCCUCUGUCUAGAAUCUGUAUGGCACUAGUGAUAUGCCUCUAAAGAACAGAAUGUGAUGGAUAGGCUGUUCCAGACUUCUAAGAUUAGGUCCUACGUGAUAACAGCUUUACCUGGCUCUCAGGCUUGGGAGUCUUGGGACCCUUGGAACCCAGAGCUCUGUUGUAAGGAAGCCCAGGCUACAAGGAGAGGCAUGUGUUCUGGCUGAAAGCCCCAGCUAAAGUCCCAGCCACCCAUCAGUACAGAUUGUUAGGUAAGUGAACAGGUCUUCAGAUGAUGCAAGCCUCCAGCCAAUGAGCAGCCCUAGUUGACUCCCAGGGGACUAGAAACAAGCUGUCCCUGCAGAGCCCUACCCAGUGCGCAUUUUCAUGAACCAGUAACACUGUUAUUAUUUUAAACCACUAAGUUCUUCGGGUGGUUUGUUAUGUACAUCAGUCCUGGCUUCAAUUAAAUUUCUAGCUCUGGUUAGCUGUUAACUAGGAACCCUUUCCCUCCACUACUCCUUGUUUCCCUAGCUAGACUGAAAUCUUAGCACCUCCUAGUACUAAUUGUGGAUGAUUAAGUGCAGUUUUGAAGUGCCAUCGGGAACAAAAAACACCAUCAUGUGGACCCUUUCUAGCCAAAGUUCUUUUUCUCGAAGGCUUAGUGACUGAGCAGGGGGAAAAGAAAGCCUGAUUCUCUCCAUCUCUCCUUUUCUUCUUCCUUAGGCAUCCCUAGUUUUUAGAAAAGAGAGAAGAAAGCAAGAUUUAAUCCUCUCCUGCCCUCAUCCCCCUUCUGAAUUACAGUCUUUGGAAAGGUGCUUUCUUUUUCACUGAAAGAUUACAUAGUCUCAUAAAGAGACCAAACCAGCCACAGGUUUUCAUUUCUUUUCGAGGAAGCAAACAGAGUUAGUUCCUCCUCCUGAACUAGAGACUCACUUCUCCUCCCAGUCUACACCCCAGACCAGAAUAGGGGUGGAUCCCUCGCCUUGGUCCCUCCCCCGCCCCCCCACAGCCGGUCACUUUCCCAUUCCACUGACUCUUUUAAAUUACCUUUCUUGAAUCCAUUUUCUUCUAUCCCCACUGCUACUAGGUACACAGAAGUGGUCCUAAUCAAUUCUUAGAUAACAGGCUAUUUUACAUUCCAUCUUACAGCCUCCAGGACCCCAACUGGUAUAAUAUUUUCAAAGACCUAUAAUCUUUUCAUACCUGACCAUGCAUUCCCUUAAAAAAAAAAAACAAAACAACUUUCAUAGGUUUCCCUUUCCCAUAGGUUUUAAUCCUGAGGACCAAAAGUCUCUUUCUCAGAGUAAAUGCUUGAAAUGGUAUGCAAAAUUGUAGUAGAGGUCUGUAGGUGCAUUUUUUUUUUUUUCUGGAAAAAAGACUAGAUUGCUUUCCCUAGGUUCUCAAACGGAUAUGUGUCCCCCUAAAGGCUAAAACCGUGUAGGUCUCAGGCUAAAAUGUAAGCUCCCCAGCAUGGACUUCGAAGCCCUAUGUGGACUGGCCAUCAGUCCAGCCUCCUUUCUCUCCCUUCUCUUCAUCCUCCUCACAUCCCACUUAAAUUUACCUCACAGCAGUUCUUCACUACAGGUUGCUUUGCUUGCUCAGCCCUUUCCUUUUUUCUUAGCUGACCUAACUUUUGCCCAUCUAGGAAUCUGCCUUCUUUACGAAGCACCUCAGGUCAUGGCACCUACAGAAAGCUAUUCAGGAUAAGCAAACUGGAUGUGAACUCUUGCCUCCCUGAAGCCAGUCUAGCAUUUGCUUUUUCUCUUAGCAUCUACCCCCUGGAUUUCCAAACUAGGGUGGGAGUGGGGCGGGGGGCGGGUAGGAAAAAAGAAAAUAAAUCGUAAAGUAAAACCUGUUAAGCAGUGACUGAUAAUUGUUUGUACAGCACUUAUACACAGAAGAACCCCAGGCUGUGGUACACAUUUUUAUAGUACUUUCUUGGGAGGUAAACAUGUUAUUUAUAAUCGCCAGCAGAAUUUUGAUGAUAAAGACAACACACACCUUCCUGCUACAGAAUAUCCUAUACGAAUUUUCAACAUCAUCCAGUUUUCCUUUAUGCCCAGCCACCACAUGGUGUUAUGUAUUUAACAACUCCGGCAAUUAAUAAACAACAUAGUU